UAGCAGAGGGUGCAAGCGUUGCUCGGAAUCAUUGGGCGUAAAAGGGUAGGUAGGUGGUCUCAUUUGUCUCGGGUGAAAGCCUUGGGCUUAACCCAAGAAGUGGCCCGAGAAACGGUGAGACUGGAGUCCUGGAGAGGGUCGUGGAAUUCCCGGUGUAGCGGUGAAAUGCGUAGAGAUCGGGAGGAACACCAGAGGCGAAGGCGGCAUCCUGGACCGAGAUUGACGCUGAGGCGCGAAAGCCAGGGAGC
rnacentral:rRNA from 1 species